UACGUAUGGUGCAAGCGUUGUCCGGAUUUACUGGGUGUAAGGGGCGUGCAGCCGGGCUGACAAGUCAGAUGUGAAAUCCCGCGGCUCAACCGCGGAACUGCAUUUGAAACUGUCAGUCUUGAGUACCGGAGAGGUCAUCGGAAUUCCUUGUGUAGCGGUGAAAUGCGUAGAUAUAAGGAAGAACACCAGUGGCGAAGGCGGAUGACUGAACGGCAACUGACGGUGAGGCGCGAAAGCGUGGGGAGCAAACAGG
rnacentral:rRNA from 1 species